rnacentral:rRNA from 2 species
AGGUGUGAUCAUACCAUCACUAAUGCACUAGAUCCCAUAAGAACUCAGCAGAUAAGCGUGCCUGGGCGAGAGUAGUACUUGGAUAAGUGACCUCCUAGUAAGUCCUCGUGUUGCACCUC